rfam:Aedes albopictus isolate Foshan contig65756, whole genome shotgun sequence.
GGCUCGGUAGCUUAGUUGGAAAAACACUGGUCUAGCGUAUAAGGGUCGUGAGUUCGAAUCUCAUCUGAGCUG